CAGUGGGACCAUAUGCUAAUAGUAUAGUAAGCAACUAUUGUAUGAAUUGGCUAUUAGAUUGGCUAUAGAUGAAUUGGAGCUAAUAGUUGGCUAUACUAUUAACCUUUAUCUUAAAAGACAAGCUUUGCAGCCGCCGGUGCAGUGUCACUGUGUCAGUCAAGAUGGGCAGCUACUUGCCGUGCGCCGCCACGUCGCUGCACCUGCUGCUGCUGCUCGCGUCGUCGGAGGCCGCGGCGGCGGCGGCGGCCGCGUCGGCCUCCCUCUCCGCCGGCGGCCACCGGCGCUACCACUCCAUCUUCAACUUCGGCGACUCCUUCGCCGACACCGGCAACAAGCCGGUGGCCUACGCGUGGUACCCCCUCCCCUCCAACGUCAUGCGUCCUCCCUACGGCGAGACCUUCUUCGGCCACCCCACCGGCCGCAGCAGCGACGGCCGGCUCAUCCUCGACCUCAUCGCUGCCGGCCUCGGUCUGCCGUUCGUGCCGCCGUACCUGGCUCACGGCGGCAGCUUCGGCGGCGGCGCCAACUUCGCCGUCGCCGGCGCCACCGCGCUGGACGCCGGCUUCUUCCACGACAGGGACAUCCCCGGCGCCGGCAGCAAGUUCCCCCUCAACACCAGCCUCGACGUGCAGCUCGCGUGGUUCGAGUCGCUGAUGCCCUCGCUGUGCGGCACGGCCCAAGAGGCUGAUGAAGCACGGGGCGAAGAGCAUCGUGGUCCCCGGGAUGAUCCCGUCAGGCUGCUCGCCGCCGGCGCUGACGUCGUUCUACGGCCGCGCCGGCCCGGCGGACUACGACGCGCGGACGGGGUGCCUGAGAGGGAUCAACGAGCUAGCGUCCCACCACAACUCGCUGCUGCAAGACGCGCUGCACGAGCUCCGGUGUUGCCAAUAUGAUUCAGAAUAUCGAUCAAGUUUGAUCGAUCGAUCGGUGUGAUGGUGGCCAAAAAAAAAAAUUGAGAAUAUAUAAUUUCUUUUAAAAAUUUGUAUUCAUAUCGGAGAGAUUAAAGGGGACCGCGAAAUGGAGCCACCACAGCGCUCCGGGGCUUUUUUGGCUGGCGUGUUCGCUUCCGGUGAUAUCCACGUCGCCCGGCGCUGGAGGUGGCGUUUUGCAAAAAAGUCCUCUAUCUAUAUAAUAAUAGCUAUUAGAUCCCUCAUUGUAUGGCCAAGACCAGCGCGAUUCUAAAUAUAGGGCCGCGGUCUAAGAAAAAAGAAACUCAUGGGUUUUUUCGGAAAAAGAAAACAUCCCUAUCCCUUCCCUUCGCUGAAAUCGGCGCUAGAGGUGGCGUUUUGCAAAAAAAUCCUCUAUCUAUAUAAUAAUAACUGUUAGAUCCCUCAUUGUAUGGUCAAGACCAGCGCGAAGGAGGUAAGAUUCUAAAUAUAGGGCCGUGCUCUGAAAAAAAAAGAAAGCCAUGGGUUUUUUCGCAAAAAUAAAACAUCCCUAUCCCCUCCCUUCGCCGAAAUCCUAGCCGUCACUGUUCACCCUUCCUCGCUUCUCCUCGCCGCAAUCGUCUUCCGCGGGUGGCAUCGCUCACGCUGUCCCCCGCCCAUCUCCGCCUUUCUUCCUCCGCCCAUCCCCGCCGCCGUCACCCAGCCACCUUUUCCCUCCUUUCUUCCUCCAUGAUUACAGUCGACCAGGUGAUUGGACGGUGCGGCGCCAAAUCAAUGGUGUGGGGGAUCGAUGUUCUGGUCUUGAUUCCUUUUCUCUCUUAUCUUCCCUCCUUUCUUGCUGAUGGCAUGCCAAAUCGAUGGUGUGGGGAUCGAUCGAUGUUCUGGUCUCGAUUUGCUGGUUCCCCUUCUGUUCAAGCUCGAGUCUUUGCCAUCGUGCGGCACCAAGCUCCGCCGUUCUGCGCCGCCAGCGCUGUUUGCCGAUUACAGAUAUGAUGAUAUUGGUUGGCUUCCCAUAUUCACUUUUGAUGCAAAGACAUUUCAGUGCCUUUUAAGAGAUUACCAACAGACUGAGAUGACUAUUUCAAAGCAGGACAUGCAACAGCGAUGUUGUUCACGCAUGGAACAGCUUUUAGUAGGGAAAUUUGAGCGUGUCUACCCUUUAUACCUGAACAACAUUAUUUUCACAGCGAGUAGGUGUAAAAAGGGAUUUGUAAUAUAUGGACUUAUGUCUGCCA